GAUGAACGCUGGCGGCGUGCCUAAUACAUGCAAGUCGAGCGAACAGACGAGGAGCUUGCUCCUCUGACGUUAGCGGCGGACGGGUGAGUAACACGUGGAUAACCUACCUAUAAGACUGGGAUAACUUCGGGAAACCGGAGCUAAUACCGGAUAAUAUAUUGAACCGCAUGGUUCAAUAGUGAAAGACGGUUUUGCUGUCACUUAUAGAUGGAUCCGCGCCGCAUUAGCUAGUUGGUAAGGUAACGGCUUACCAAGGCAACGAUGCGUAGCCGACCUGAGAGGGUGAUCGGCCACACUGGAACUGAGACACGGUCCAGACUCCUACGGGAGGCAGCAGUAGGGAAUCUUCCGCAAUGGGCGAAAGCCUGACGGAGCAACGCCGCGUGAGUGAUGAAGGUCUUCGGAUCGUAAAACUCUGUUAUUAGGGAAGAACAAAUGUGUAAGUAACUAUGCACGUCUUGACGGUACCUAAUCAGAAAGCCACGGCAAACUACGU
rnacentral:rRNA from 1 species